GGGACUCCGAAAGGAGAAAACAGAGAGAAAGGUUCUGGAUGCAUCAGCUACGUACUCUUGAAUCUGAUGGACUUAAUGAGAGGGAUGAAAAACAGUUCUACCCAAAACCAAAGGAAUAAAUCAUGAAUUUCAUUCUAUUUAACUAAAACAACUAUUUGUUUAGAUUUAAAAAUUGUUAUGUACAAUAAACGGCAAAAAUAUCUUUUAUAUACCCCAUCAAUCAAUAUUUUAAACUUUUACACAAAAACGUCAAGCUACAAAGAUAUUUUUUUGUCAUGCAUCCGAUUUCACCUAGAUAGAUGCACACGCC
rnacentral:lncRNA from 1 species